AUGUACCCACGUACACUCCGGUUCCUCCGCGCCGUCCGCACCCACCUGACGACUGCUCGCUACGGUUUGUUAGCC
rnacentral:sRNA from 1 species